GACGUAGGGCGCGAGCGUUGUCCGGAUUUAUUGGGCGUAAAGAGCUCGUAGGCGGCUUGUCGCGUCGACUGUGAAAUCCCGCGGCUCAACUGCGGGUCUGCAGUCGAUACGGGCAGGCUAGAGUUCGGUAGGGGAGACUGGAAUUCCUGGUGUAGCGGUGAAAUGCGCAGAUAUCAGGAGGAACACCGGUGGCGAAGGCGGGUCUCUGGGCCGAUACUGACGCUGAGGAGCGAAGGCGUGGGGAGCGAACAGG
rnacentral:rRNA from 1 species